rnacentral:lncRNA from 1 species
AUGAAAAAGAGGGUUGCUUUUCAUAACUCACUUUGGCUUAAUCUGACUCAUAAGACUACCAGAGACCAUGCCUGCUUCCAUUUUGAUGAGAUCUUUUCCUUUUUUAAAAUAAAGUUACUUAAUAUAUGGCAAAACUUUUCAGUUCCCAAUGCAUCAUAUUCAUGUCAUAGAGUCAGGUUUGGAGAAUCUGCAAAAUCACAUAGCUCGCUCAUAUAAUCCUUUCUGUGGAUUACUUGGAGUAGGCCAUUAGCUCUUCCUGGCUUUUUUUUCCCUCUUUUUUAAAGUCAUUUCAUAUUAGCACCUCUUCCUGAGUAAAGAAUCAAUAACCAAAAAUGAAAGUGAAAUGGAUUGAUUUGACCUUGUGUCAAUUUCUGAGUGAGAGUUUGCUAAGAAAGGUAAAAACCACUGACCACAGUAAAAUAUUUGGAUUGGGGUUACUUAUUUUAAGCAGUUUAGACUUGUUGGAGAGAGGAGGCAGAGUUUAACAAGGACUGGACUCUUCUUUUUUCUUCUGUUCAUGAGCGUAUGCCUUUGGAGGACACUGGUGACUUCCAGUAUUAGAUAAUGAUUUGCCUCAUUUACCCUUUGAGCUCACCCAUAAUUUUUCCCAGGCCCAGCAUCCACUUUCAGUUAAUGAGUCUUUCUGGAUAAAUAUCAGUUGCAAGUGAUUUUGAAUUGGUCCUCUGACUAAAAUGAAAACAUUGUUUUUAAAAAAAUAAACCACGCUACGUAAAUGAGAUCAUAUUAUAAUCAGACAGGACUAUUUUUUUCCCCCAAGUAUCAAACCAAUGGUGUUAAAGAUUUUGUUAAAGAUGUUUCUUUAUCCUGCAGAACUCUCUGUAUUUCAUGAUCACAAGUAUUUUAGUGACCUCUGCUUAGCCUCUGGAAGAGGUCUUCUACGGUUUAUACAUUCUUUUUUGUAGAUUUUUUUUUUUUUUGGCUACGCCCAUGGCAUGUAAAAGGUCCUGGGCCUGGGAUGGAAUCCACACCACAGCAGCGACCCCCGUUGCUGUGGUGACAAUACCAAAUCCUUAACCUGCUGCACCACAAGGGAACGCCUCUAGAAUUUCUGUUCACCUGCAACUGAUUACUUAUUCU